rnacentral:rRNA from 1 species
GACGAACGCUGGCGGCGUGCUUAACACAUGCAAGUCGAACGGUAAGGCCCUUCGGGGUUCACGAGUGGCGAACGGGUGAGUAACACGUGGGUGAUCUGCCCUGCACUUCGGGAUAAGCCUGGGAAACUGGGUCUAAUACCGGAUAGGACCACUGCCUACAUGGGUGGUGGUGGAAAGCUUUUGCGGUGUGGGAUGGGCCCGCGGCCUAUCAGCUUGUUGGUGGGGUGAUGGCCUACCAAGGCGACGACGGGUAGCCGGCCUGAGAGGGUGACCGGCCACACUGGGACUGAGAUACGGCCCAGACUCCUACGGGAGGCAGCAGUGGGGAAUAUUGCACAAUGGGCGCAAGCCUGAUGCAGCGACGCCGCGUGGGGGAUGACGGCCUUCGGGUUGUAAACCUCUUUCAGCACCGACGAAGCGCAAGUGACGGUAGGUGCAGAAGAAGGACCGGCCAACUACGUGCCAGCCGCCGCCGUAA